UGGCUCUCCUCCUUUACAACACUUUUACCACUCAACUUCUUUGGCAUCUUUCUCCUCUACUCAUCUCUUUCCUGUUUCCACCUCCCCAUCUCCCCAAUCUCUCUCUCUAACCUCUCUCUGAUCUCCAUGACUCCUGUUUAUCAUUCUUCUUUUCCUUCUUUUCUAAUAGACCUCAAUGAAGACCAACAACACAACCAUCUCUUCUGUUCUAAACCUACAGAAGAGGCUUCUUCAUCUUCCUCUAUAAUCUACCCAAUUCUCAUCAACCCAUCUCAAGAAGAUGCAGGUUUUUACCAUGGGGAAUUCCACCAGCCAUUUAUACAGCAUCAAGAAGAGGCUGGUGGGUCAUGGGAUCAUCCAGCACUUAAGAACAAGAAAGAGAAUGGCUUCAAAUUAUUUGUUUGUAAGGAAGAAGACAGAAAUGAAGAUCAACGAGAAAACAGUUCAGCUAAGUGGAUGUCUUCAAAGAUGAGGUUGAUGAGGAAGAUGAUGAACUCCGAUCAAAUAGUUGCCAGUACACCAGAGACUUCUAUGCUGAAGUUUGAAGAUGAAAAGGCCCGAUCAUCUCCUUUACAAGAUGAUAAUAGCAACAAAAAUUUGUCUAACAACAGUAACAACGCAAUUAGGGUUUGUGCUGACUGUAACACAACUAAGACCCCUCUAUGGAGGAGUGGACCGAGAGGUCCGAAGGUAUAAAACGUCCUCUCUUUCACCACACAUAUCCUUUAUAAAAGUUUCCAAUUUCUUUACAGUUACAUUCUGGUGCAGUCGCUUUGCAACGCCUGUGGAAUUCGGCAAAGGAAGGCGAGGAGAGCCAUGGCUGCAGCUCAAGCAGGUGCAAAUGGCACAAUUUUUGGUCCUGAGAUAGCAGCCAUGAAGAAAAAGGUGCAAAAUAAAGAGAGAAAAACAAGCAACAGUCAUCUUCCAUUCAAGAAAAGGUGCAAAUUUACAGCGCAAGCUCAAGGCAGAAAGAAGCUUUGUUUUGAGGACUUAUCAUUAAUCUUGAGCAAGAAUUCAGCUUUUCAUCAACGAGUUUUCCCUCAAGAUGAGAAGGAAGCUGCAAUCCUACUUAUGGCUCUAUCUUAUGGUCUUGUUCAUGGUUGAAUUUCCCCAACAAAAUAUUUGUUUCCUUCAAUUUUAGAUUAAUUUGUUUGUUUAGCUUUAGAAGAAGAGAGUGCAUAUUUUGUGUGAGAGAAAUGAAAUCAUUAUGUGUGACUGUGAGCAACCAAAAUUCAAUAAGAAAGAAUUAUUAGUGUUGUGAUCUGCGGAGCUAAUUGUAGUAGUAUCAGAGAUAAUUAAUUAUCAAAAUCAGGCUUAAUUAACUAAUAAAGAUUUUUAUUGUUUUAAUAAAAUCUUAGCUCCAUUU
rnacentral:misc_RNA from 1 species